CCAAACACAGUGUGUUUUAGAGAAAUGCUGUGAGGAGAUUGCUCCCAGCUUGCUAGCUUCAGGACAACCUAGGGUCUUUGUCACUGUGAGCAGACCGAGGAGGUGUUCUCUCUCAGGCAGGAAAUGCUGGAGUUCUGCCAAGAAAGCUGUAAACCUGAGGAAGCCACCUGGCCUUCGAGUUCCCUCUUUCAUGAGAAAGUAACUUUGUUUGUAAUUAUAAGAAGCACCUCAUCUAAGAGUUGGACUGCUGACAGAUUUCUCAGUCUGCAAAGAGGCUUGGGUCACUUUGAACAAAGAUAAGCUGUUGCUAGGGAAACAGCACCUGGUGUAAACCGGAAACUGGAAAUCUUUAUUCUGCUUUGCCUUUAAAAGAAGUUGAAACUCGUUUGAAUAAAGUGCACAUGGACUGACUAUGGCUGUGUGCCCCCUGUGUCCUGUUAAGGAGGCUCUACCCUUGGGAGACAACACACCAGACACUGAUGAAGGGCACCCACUUACGGGGACUGGAGUAAGGAAGUUUUGCAGGAGGGCCAGAAACUUUGGUGAGUGAACCUUGUUAUAAAUGAAAAACUCUUCUUUCUUAAAAACUUGUUGUUCAGGGUGCCUACCAAAAAUCUUCCCUAUUACAGGGGAAAGGGGGCAAGCUAUCUAUUCCUAAUAUCUCUUUUCUGCAGCAUGUGUGAUUUCUCUUCUGAAGCACAUGUACAGGUAAAUGAGUAUAUAUGUAAAUAUGUAUGAAUAUAAGUGGAGUUGAUUGUGACUGAAGGUUGGGCCUGGCCAGAGAGAAUGUGGGUGUAUGAAUGUUUGAAAAUAUAAGUGACUGUGUAUAUUUGUCUGUGUAAAGCAUUUUAAUUCUUUUUCUUUCCUUUAAAGCAGCACCAGCAAUCAAUCUUUUCACUUAAUUCCUAGCUGCUAAGUAGUAUGUGUUAAUUUCCAGAUAUUAGCAUUUGUUAAAGUGCUACAAGUGGUAAAGAGUUAAGUUCUUAGCACAGAAUAGUAAGAAAGUUAAGUUCACAGAGAAUUAUAACUUUAAUAAAGCACAGAGUUAAAGAGAAAAGGAGCUAGUAUUUUUGAUCAUAGAAUAAGCAAGAAAGUUUUUAGAAUCUUUUAGAAGUUACCAGUAAGCCUUCAGUAUAGAUCCUGAAAAUUGUCAAAGAAUGAAAAGGGAUGUCGAAAAGGCUGUUUGGUAAGGGGAGAAAAUUCCUAUAAAGUUUGUGUUAAUGUGGUCCUUCGUUUUGGUAGCGCUUUAGGCUAUGAGAUGUAUACUUACUUGUCAUGGGCUGGUGUUCACAAAGCAACCUUCCUAUAGCCGUUUUUCCCAUAAAUUUUUUAACCUUCCUAUAAUCAGCCUUACUUGUACUUGCAGGACCAGUACAGAAAAUAUAGAUAAGGGAGCUCAUAAAAAGGAAAAUGAGGAAGAUAAUAUAUUUAGCAACCUUAAAGGUUAAGAUAAGACUUCGAGUUAGCAAUGAGAGAGAAAAAGAGUUUCAGAGAGGAAAAACCUAUCAAAGAAAUUCUGUAGAGAGAGAAGGGAGAUGAAAGUAAGCUGUUCCGCAGGUGGGCACAGAGGCACACAGCUGUGACAGAGGUCGCAGGCUGCUGGAGUGUCUCCAGAGGAAGGGCAGAGGCUAAGGCGGCUACAGGAAGCAGGGAAAGAAGUCAGCAUGGUCUGGAGAGGGAGCAACAUGGCAAGCACCAGAGGACAGCACAGCACUGAAGACUUACAGCUCCAGUAUGGGUCAAGUAUUAGCAUUCCUGGUUUUCACGCAGUUUGCCCCAAAUUUAAAUUAUAUAAACUAACAUAUGUUAUACAGAUUAAAUAUUAAUUAUAUACAUUGAAUAUAAGUUAUAUACCUUAUUGUGUAUUAUAUACAGUAAAUAUAAGUCAUAUGCAUUAAAUAUUAAUUAUAUACUUUGAAUGUAGACUAUAUGCAUUCAAUAUAGAUUAUAACACUGAAUGUGAUCUCUACAUUAGUGUAUACAUAAUAUACAGUGAAAAUUGUACACAUUAAAUAUUAAUGAUAUCCUUUAAAUAAAAUUCAUAUAUAAUAAAAUAUGAAUUAAAUAUGAGCUAUAAUCAUAAUUUCGCAUGUCCACAAGGACAGGGACUUAUGGGACGAGCCUGUGGAGCUCUAAAAAAUUUUCCUCCACGGGCUAUUGUCAUUUCAAAGUUCAAGAAUUUUAAUAUUGAUUAAUGGAGUUCUGAUAAGUUAAUGGAACAUUGGUAAUUUACAAUUCAGCCACAAGGUCAAGAUUUUAAUUUCUCUUUGUUUGUUUUCUGAAUAUAAACUUAAAGAUGCUUCUCAUCAUGCAAAAAAAUUUCUGUUCAAUCUAUAUUUAUAGGUGUAUAAGAGACAUCUGUUAACUAAAUUUCUAAACUAUGGACUCAAUACAAUAAUAAAUGCUAAUGAAUAUUCUUUUAUAAACUAAAGUUUUGUAAAUAUAAGCUUCAAGGAAUUAAUAGCCCUGAAACUUGGAUUCACCAAUCAUAGAUCAAAUGGAUUCCAGAUAAGCAUAUCUGCCUGUUCUUGAAAACAAUAUUUUUUUCUUGGUCUUGGGAUUUCUUACAUUCCAUAAUUGUUAGACAAUUUUGAUUUCUGUUCCUAGUCUAUAUUUGUCUGAGCAGAUUUUCACCUGGCUGACAGACUCCAUCCAGGGAUUAGCUGUGGAGCUGUUCACCUCUGGAAUUGCUGAAGGCUGAUGUGAUUGUUCCCUGUAUUUCAUCUGGAUUAGCUAAGCAGAUUAUUUUUUUAAUGAAUGUUUCAUUGUCCAGCCUUUGACUAGCAUUUAAACCUCCAUCUAAUGUUGGCUCAAAAAGGCCAUCCUUUAGAAUUGAUUUAUACUAGGCAUACUUUUUCUAAAACUUUAACUACUUUUGAAGAUAUACUAUCUGUAUUGAUACAAAUGGGUCAUAAAAGAAGUAUGUAAAUAAAUGGGUAUGACUGUGCUUCUAUUAUAUUUCCUGUAAAGAUAAAGUAGAGUAUUUGUAUGCUGUGAGUAAGUCAUUGCUGAUAACUUUAAUACAUUUUUGAGUCAAUUUAAGUAUCAUUUGCCAAAAAGUAAAUUAUCAGACUUUUUAAAGAAAAAUGUAUUUGUGAUAAAUGAUGUCAUGGCUCAAAAAUCAUUAUUAUGUGUUCUCACAAUUUUUACAGAUGGGUCAGAAAUUAAAAGUGCUUUUUGGACUCUUUCUGAUUUUCAAGUUUUUCUGGCCAAAUAUACUUCUGUUCAGCAAAAUGAGCUGUAAGCUGUAACUAGAACUUUUCAAAAGUGUCCACGAGAUAUUAAUUUAGAGGUAGACUCAGCUUACGUUGUAGAGAUUGUAAAAACAGAUUUAUAUUUCAGUUAUUUCUAAUUAUAAAGAGCCAUUGAGAACACUUUUCUGAGGUUGCAAAAUGAAUUGAGAACUUGUAAUUGCAGAACAUCUGUUACUCAUAUUAGAGCUCAUACUAAGUUGCCUGGAUUCAUUUCUAAAGGAAAUUAAUAUGUGGAUUAUUUGGUUACUUUUGUUUCUGCAGAAGAUGAGCAUAAGGCUUUACAUACUAAUGCUAACAAAUUACAUAUACAAUAUAAAAUUCCUUAUCAGCAAGCUAAGGCUAUCAUCUCACAGUGUCCCAUUUGUAAACCUAUGCAUAUUCUCAUGGUCCCAAAUGGAGUUGAUCCUCGGGAACGCAAGUCAAUGAGAUUUGACAAAUGGUUGUCACUCACAUACCUGAAUUUGGAAGAUAUUGUUAUGGGCAUGUAUCUGUUAAUACAUAUUCUAAAUUUAUAUGGGGUACACCACUUACUGGAGAAACUGCUAAUCAUGUAAUGAAGCAUUUAACUGAAGCUUUUGCUAGUAUGGAAAUUGCUAUAUUUAUUAAAGCAAAUAAUGGUCCAGCUUUAAAAUCUUAUAAAUUUAAGCAAUUUUGUAUGUAUUUUGAAAUUAAAGCUAUAACAGGAAUAGAAUAUAAUCCUCAAGGACAACAAUACUGGAAAGAGCUCACUUUAAAACAAAUUAAAAAAAAAAAAACAACAAAGGAGGAAAAAUAGAUGAACCUUUUAUGUUUCUCUAUAAGCAAUUGCAAGCUUCACCUGGAACCCUUACUCAUCAAGAUUUAAUGCUUAAUUUCCUUAAUUUACCUCAAGGGGAUAUACUUUCUAAGGCAGAAGAACAUUUUGAUUCAAAAUCAAAUUCAGAAAGUUUUCAUUUACAAAAAGUCUGGGUUAGGAUAACUGCUGAUGUAGAAUGGCAAAAAGGAAUGUUGCUAGUUUGAGGGAAAGGGUGUGGUCUUGUAAUUUUCAGGAUGGACAACAACUCUGGUUGCUAGGAAGGUGGAUUCAGAGAGGCUGCGAGGCUGAGGAUCAAAGCAGCAGUGAGGUGCAGAUCCUACUGAUGAAGAACUGCCCAUUCAAGCUGUGGCUUAUUUACCGGGAGUGCACAUUCUGCUUCUAAUUAUAGUUGUACAACAUAUAUGAAAUAUAUUUCUGCUUAUGUAGCUUUGCCUUACUUAAUGCUUAUUGAAAAAUUUAAUUUUUCAUAUUAGGAAAUUACACGUGUUAACUGUAGGUUUAUUCUUGCAUCAGUAAUAACAUAUUGUUUAAUUUUACUUCAUAUUCAAAACAAUGUAGUCAAUGUAUGGCACCUCUUGAAUUCCUUGAUAAAAUCUUAACAAGAAUAAAGCAUAUGUCAGGGAUCAUUGUUGCUGUCAUUUCUUUCUUUAUUUUUUUAAAGAUGUAUUUAUUUAUUAUAUGUGAGUACACUGUAACUGUCUACAGACACUCCAGAAGAGGGCAUCAGAUCUCAUUAUGGAUGGUUGUGAGCCACCAUGUGAUUGCUGGGAUUUGAACUCAGUGCCUCCGGAAGAGCAGUCAGUGCUCUUAACUGCUGAGCCAUCUUCCUAGCCCCGUUGUCGUCAUUUCAAAGUCUUAUUGCUGUGGCUUCUAGAACCUCAGGAGCUGGCGUUACUUUGCAUACUUUUUUGCAAACUAAACAUUUUGUAGAAUAAUGGCAUAACAGUUUUCAUUAAUUGUGGAUUCAUCAGGUGGACAUCCAUGUGAGGCUGCAAACAGAAGUAUUGCAGCAUUUACAGAUGCCUUAAAGCUAUCUGUAUCCUGGUUAGGUUAAAAAUAUUUGAGAGUGCAACAACAGCUGCAGUUAAAUUGAGAUUGGAAUUCUACUACAUUUUGUGCUACUAAUUUUCAAUAUAAUGCCAGUUUUCAAGAUGGGGAAAAGAUUCAACUACAUUUGAAAGAAAAUUCUACUGUUAGAAAGAAUUUUGAACAAUUACAAUACCAAGCGCUGGACACAUUCAAAAAGGAAUUUCCAUCUGACAAUGCAUCUGAUAUUGCUAAAAUCCUAGCUGAUAAAUAGUCUGGAAUGGAUUCUAGAAGUUUACUACAGAGUGUGGCUCGUGCCCUGUUACGUAUUAGCAUUGUCUUAAUUACCAUUUUAGGAUUGGCUAUUUACAAGUGUUGCUUCUGUAAACACACUUCGCAAGUAAGUAACUUAUAGCAAAAUCUUUUCGAAGCUAAAUGAAAAAUAAAAAAUGAGGAAACUGUAGAGAAAUGAGGAUUCUGCUCAUAGCUUCAAAGUAACCUAGGGUCUUUGCCACUCCGCAGACUGAGACCGAGGAGGAGUACUCUCUCAAGCAGGGAAUACUGGAGUUCCUCCGAAUAAGCUGUAAACCCGAGGAAGCCACCUGACCUUCCCGUUCCCUCUCUUACGAGAAACCACUAAGCCUGCAGGACCAAGUGAGCAUUCCUGUCAGGUUUCCCCUCAGACUAAGGCUUCUUUAAAUGUGAGCGGCCAUGCCACGCGGAACCACGUGACUGGAUGGGAAGGUCCAAUAAGAUAUUUCUGGAAAAAUGACAUUUUGGCUAAGAUUCUAGGCUAUUGUGUAUUACGAACUGUUAUAUUUUGCUGUGCAUACAGUUUUCUGUUCUCACAGGAAUAUAAUGGCUCAGUGUUCGAAAACGAAGACUUCACAUUUUCUUAUCAUUGUUCAGCACAUUAAUAACAGAUUAGCGUAUCUCUAGAUUGUAUCAUGUUCAAAUGUCAUAUUUUAAAAUAGGUGUUUGGUGCUGGGAACAUUGCUCACGUGACAGAGGACUCACCCAGCAUUGCCCAGUUUGACUGAAGUCCCAGCUACACCAACAAGCUGUGAUGACACAGGCCUGUGAGCGCCAUUCUCAUGAACUAAAGAGGACGACAGAUCCGAGUUCCAAGGCCAUGCUCCCCUACAAAGAGAGCUUGACAAGGUCCGAAUGAACAAAAUGAGACCUUGUAUCAAAAUUAAAUAAAUAUAAUUAAUGAACUAAUUAGAUUAGCUGAUUAGUUAAGUUAAUUUUAAAAUAAACUGCAUGAUUGGUUAAAAUUGCUGUUUGGUAGCUGAACUUAGUUUCAUUAAAAAUCAUUCACUGAACUUUGGUUUGAAAUGAGGGCAGAAUUGUUUCCAAUAAUUUCUGAAACAGCUGUAAAACAUACUUUCUCCAUUUUGUGUUAUGCAUUUAUACAAAGCAGCUUUCUGAGCACUAAUGAUUAUAUAAAUCAAACUAUCAAUCAACUCUGGCAAAUGCGAAGGCACUCUAUGUCUUUCACUUUCAAAUAUUUAGUCAAUAUUUAUUUCUUAAAAAUAACUAAACAUAGCCAUAUCUUUAAUAUGUGAUUCAUUUUAUCUAUAAUAAAUAGUAAACACGUAUAUAGACCCAAAUUCACCUUAAAAUACGUUUCUUUGGUAUUUAUCAGGAAGCAUUUGCUUUGUAUAUCUAUAUACAUAAAACAUAAUGCACUUAGGUAAUAUAAAAAAAUUUUUCUGGUGGAAAGGAGUCUCAAGUAGGAAAUGUUUAGGCAACAUAUACUCUUUCCAAUUGAAUGAAGGGUUUUCCGAAGUACUGAUGUAAGAUAUUCUUAGACAGGAAGCUAGUUAUAGACGUUGUUCUACAUAUCACAAAUAACACUAGAGUCUGAUGAUAGUAUGUUUAUUACUUUUUGGAAGUGAGUGUUUCUGGUGGGACUUAAACCACAAACACUCCAUAAAGUAGGUUUAUGACACUGUAGUAAUUAAUAUUAAAAAAUAGAGAGGCUGGGGAUUUUCUCAGAAUCAAGUACAUGUCCAAGACUCUAGGCUUCAUCCCCACCACCUCAAAAAGAGAGGGAUAGACAAUUAAAUUGUAGUUGUCUGUAGAAGUCAGGUCUGGCUCUUCCACCCAGCCCCAUGCUCCCAGAAAUAAGACCCAGACUGAAAUAUAUUUGUAUAUACUGUGACCAUAUAGCUAGGCUCUUCUCUGACUAGCUCACAUCUUAAAUAAACCCAUGUAUUCUGCCAUGUGA